rnacentral:rRNA from 1 species
UUGCAUAUCAAUAAGCGGAGGUAAAGAAACCAACAGGGAUUGCCUUAGUAACGGCGAGUGAAGCGGCAAAAGCUCAAAUUUGAAAUCUGGCACCUUCGGUGUCCGAGUUGUAAUUUGAAGAAGGUAACUUUGGAGUUGGCUCUUGUCUAUGUUCCUUGGAACAGGACGUCACAGAGGGUGAGAAUCCCGUGCGAUGAGAUGCCCAAUUCUAUGUAAAGUGCUUUCGAAGAGUCGAGUUGUUUGGGAAUGCAGCUCUAAGUGGGUGGUAAAUUCCAUCUAAAGCUAAAUAUUGGCGAGAGACCGAUAGCGAACAAGUACAGUGAUGGAAAGAUGAAAAGAACUUUGAAAAGAGAGUGAAAAAGUACGUGAAAUUGUUGAAAGGGAAGGGCUUGAGAUCAGACUUGGUAUUUUGCGAUCCUUUCCUUCUUGGUUGGGUUCCUCGCAGCUUACUGGGCCAGCAUCGGUUUGGAUGGUAGGAUAAUGACUAAGGAAUGUGGCUCUACUUCGGUGGAGUGUUAUAGCCUUGGUUGAUACUGCCUGUCUAGACCGAGGACUGCGU